UACAGAGGUCUCAAGCGUUGUUCGGAUUCAUUGGGCGUAAAGAGCGCGCAGGCGGUCGGAUCAGUCGAAUGUGAAAGCCCCCGGCUCAACUGGGGAGGGUCAUUCGAUACUGUCCGACUCGAAGGCAGGAGAGGGAAGCGGAAUUCCCGGUGUAGUGGUGAAAUGCGUAGAUAUCGGGAGGAACACCAGUGGCGAAGGCGGCUUUCUGGCCUGUUCUUGACGCUGAGGCGCGAAAGCUAGGGGAGCGAACGGG
rnacentral:rRNA from 1 species